rnacentral:rRNA from 1 species
AUUGAACUCUGGCGGCAGACCUGACACAGGCAAGUCGAGCGAGCGGCGGACGGGUGAGUAAUGUAUGGGGACUGCCCGAUAGAGGGGGCUAACUACUGGAAACGGUGGCUAAUACCGCAUACUAUCGGAUAACCCAUAUGGGAUUAGCUAGUAGGUGGGGUAAAGGCUCACCUAGGCGACGAUCUCUAGCUGGUCUGAGAGGAUGAUCAGACAAACUGGGACUGAGAAACGGGCCAGAGUCCUACGGAGGCAGCAGUGGGGAAUAUUGCACAAUGGGCGCAAGCCUGAUGCAGCCAUGCCGCGUGUAUGAAGAAGGCCUUAGGGUUGUAAAGUACGUUCAGCGGGGAGGCGUUACCCGCAGAAGAAGCACCGGCUAACUCCGUGCCAGCCGCCGCGGUAAUAC